rnacentral:other from 1 species
CGAUUCCUGGGGUGUUCGAUAACCCCGUAUAUUUUGAACCUACAUUUGUUUAAACGGGAUUCCUAUAUUGCUGACAGGAUGGAAAGCCUCCUGCGNNNNNNNCAGGAUGGAAAGCCUCCUGCGAGUGGACUUCAGAAUGUUUGGCUGCGGUUGCCCACCUAGCUUCGCUAGGACUCAAAAGUGCGGGACCGGCAUCUUGGGAUUUGU